ACUCUUUCCAGGAGAUCCCUGUCUUUUUUGUACCGGGGAGCCCAGAACUGGACACAGUACUCCAGGGUGGCAAUCCUAUCUUUUGCCUUACUUCUUCCACCAAGUUCCAUCUUGAACUCCAUGAUCUCAUGGUCGCUGCAUCCCAAGCUGCCCCCAACCUUCACAUCCCUAACAAACCCAUCUGCUUAUAAGAACAAGGUCCAGAAACACCCCCGCCUUGUCAGCUCCUCCACCACCUGCAUCAGAAAAUUAUCUCCAAUGCAUUGUUUGUCCGUUUGGACUGCAUGUGCCUGGCUGAGUUGCUUUCCCAACAGAUGUCCAGAUGAUUAAAACCCCCAUGAGAACCAGCGUCCAGGAUCGUGAGGCUACUUCCAGCUGCUUGUAGAAGGCUUCAUCGACCUCCUCCUCGUGAUAUGCUGAGCUGCAGCACACCCCCACAGCAGCGUCCCCCAUACCAGCCUGCCCCUUAGGCUCUCCACACCUUCUUUGCCUUCCCCCAGGUGGAGCUGGGUACAUUCUAAUUGCUCUCUCACAUAGAAUUUCACUUAUCUUAUAGUUCCUGUAAGUGGCAGCUUGAUUAAUCCUGGCUCCCAGAAGGAUCCUGGGUGUUCCUCUGCUGGUGCAUCACAAACUGGGGCAGGAGGCAGCCAUGGACCCCGCUGGGCCCCGCAGGGCAGGAGCAGUGGAGGAAGCGUGGUUUAACUCUGCUGGGUUUUACACGGGGUUUUACCCAGCUGGGCAGCCGAGCUCCACCUCAGCCGCUCUCUCACUGCCCCUCCUCAAAGCAGAGAAAAUACGAUGCAAAGGGCUCAAGGGGUGAGAUAAGGAUGGGGAGAUCACCCAACAGUUAUCACGGGGAAAACAGACCCCGCAGAGGGAGAUUAGUAACAUGUAACACCUCUUAGUAACCAGAUGGAGCUGUGAGAAACAACCACAACAAAUAAAGACACCUUCCCCUCCUCGAGCAGCGCAGGGCAAUGGGGGCUGCGCUCA